AUAAAAGCGUUGAGAAAGUAAGUAACAAUUAGAUAUUAUUCAGCGAGCCUAGUUGAGUGAGAGCAGGCAUAUUAUCUUCUUGUGAAAAUCACUUUGGAGCUAACAACUGAAUUAUAAUGUAAGUUGUAUCGGCAGCUACCGUUAUCCCAGCAGCAAAUCACUAUCCUUUUUGAAAGAUGGUUGUUUGUGUUUAAUGAGGCUUUUUGAUUUUGGAUAAAUGAAAAAGCAAGUAAGGUGGUACCGCGCUUUUUGAGCGCCCUUUCA
rnacentral:ncRNA from 1 species